UCCAGACCAACACGGUUCUAGCGGGAUUCUGCCUUUCCCUUCACUUUUCCUCCUUUACCAUGUCCAGACAUGGCUGCGUGGGUUGGUUUGUUGAUGUGUUGUGAUGCGAACUGAUGUGGUAUACGGUUUGAAUGAGAAUGAUCGUUACGGCAGCGGAGCGGGGAUUUUUAAGCUGACUGGCUGGCUCGAGAAUUACGCGUGUGUGAGACUGCGACCAAUGUUUCGUUAAUUUUUUUUCUUUUUCCUUUCCAAUCGUGCUUCAUUCUAUUUCGCUGCUGCUCUGGUUGCCCGUUUUGGUCGGUACGAUUUGAGGAGCACAAAAUGGACCAAUCAAAAAUGGGCACAUAGUGCAUUUGGACAAUGCUUGAUAUUUCACAAUUAUUCAAUUAUUUAUCUCAAGAUAAAUGAAAUGUUAUUCGUUAUGAUAGAUGCGUAGAUAUAUUUCCUAUCAAUUGAUGCAAAAACCUUUGCGAUCUACUGAGAAAUGCUCGAGCUAUAAGCGUUUCAAAUCUUGCAUUUUUUCCUACUUGUUCAGUGCCUAGAUUUCCAUUUCACCCCCUAUAUCUUCCGGUUAGACGUAGUCCUACGUCAAAAAAAGUUCCAAUAAAAUUUCAACGGUAAUGUAACCAAGAAAAAAUAGACACCCCUAAUGCCAACGUUUGGCGAUUUGGUAAACACACAGAUGAACAAUGGUGUAAAUCGAGCACAGAUGGUAGAAGGAAUGAUAGAAGGACAAAAGAAAAAUAAACUUAUACUUGCCGCUGCUGUGUGGCGUGUGUGAUAAAUCUGUCUGAAUUGUAUCUCGGUCGCGCACCACUUUGAGCUUCGCUCUACUCGCAAGCGCAACCGAUGAAAAAAAAACACAGUCUGAUUCGAUGUGGAAAAAACACCUUUGUUGGAUCGUUUCGAAAACCUAUCCGAUCUACUUGCGAGUUAUCGAACCCUCGAACCCGAACAUAAAACAUAUGAACAACAUAUUUGUGUAACGAAAUGAAGAAGAAAAACUCACAAGAUAUCUCGACAUUUCCUAUUUCAUCACUACUACUUCUUGCGCUGUCGGCGGGUUGAUUUUCAACUUCUCCCAAUUGAGUCCAGUGUUCAGGAUUCCCUGGUAAUGCUAGAAGUGAAAACAGUUUAUUACACGGUUUUUAUUCAAUACGAUACACUCACCAUCAGCAUUGAUUCUUCGACGCCGCUCAACCGAGUAUGAGACAUUUUCGCACUCUUCAUUCCUUUCAUAGCAAGAGGAAUCGAAAUGUUUCGAACAAAUUCCUUGGUUACCUAGAGGUUUCCACUGUUUUUGUUGUCCACAAUAAGCGAUCCAUUUCAAGAGCAGAUCCUCUCUUUUGGGAAAUCUAUGCACGGUAAUACAUUCAGCUUUAUUUUUGUAUCGAGAACGAGUUAUUUCGCAGCCUUAACGGCACAGAAAUUAGCCAUCUGCAAGAAAACGAAAUUAUAUCUUAUUAUAUAUUGCACCAUUUAAAGACAAAAAUACACUUACCUCGAAAUUCCUCACAGGUGAUUCCUCUGCCCAAAUAAACUCUCCUUAUUUCUUGGCACAAUUCAAAUGUUUUGAUAACAAACAAUUGUAAUGUUAUUCGAUGUUAAUUGAUGUUAAAUGAUUUUUAUAAUCCAAAAAUAUUCUCGUUCGUGGAAUGUUCAUCAGAGCCAAACUUGACAGCAAUAUUUUUCCCCCGCUUUGCAGUCAAAUCCCUUUCCACAGUCCUCUGUAUGUUUAUACCGUUUCCCCUAGCGCACUUAUUGACGACACGGUCACACCUUUAUUCUACACAUAUUGGGUGGGAAUAAGAGCAUUGAAAAAUUUAAAGCUCAAGAGAAUAAAUUGACUUUCGGUGUCGGUCGGAGAUGGAGGUAUUUUUCCCGUGUUUUGCAGUUAGAGACGUCGGUUAAUCGUUCGAUAAAUUCAAAUAAUCGAAUAUCUGUAUCAGUAAUUUUAUAUCAAAUAAUGAAAAAUCAAGAAAAUACAGUGCAAAAUUUGUUUAACCGUCAUGGUGUUUCGUCGAAAUUUAUAGAAUAUGCUAAAUCAUUUACGGUAGAAGCUUGAUUCCUAGGUGGUGGAGGAGACUGGGAAGAAGAAUUCAGGGUCUGCAGGAGUAAAAUGCGGACUUGAAGAAGGUGGUCUCAGCUCCCGUUCUAAAAUAGUAGUAUUCAAAUUCAGAGCGCCGAGGAAAAUAUACCAUACUAGUGAUCAAUGAUUCUAUGACCAAGCAGAGAUGUUCAAACAAAUCAGCUAUUUCAACAAACAACAUUCGAAGAACAGAUAAUUUUGAACAGCCAAAAUUUUGGUUGGUGAAAAAAAAAUGCAUGUCGGACUCGACUAAUAUCGACAGAUUCGAUAAUAUGUGAUUCGAUUAUAUACAAUU